CCAAAUUCAAAAAAGCAGAGGUGUUGGCUAUACUAAAACUGGAAUGAUACAGAGACAAGGAGCAUGGCCCGUGCAUGAAGGCAGCUCACAAGUUCGUGAAGCCUUCCAUAUUUUU
rfam:Tupaia chinensis contig70001, whole genome shotgun sequence.